rnacentral:rRNA from 1 species
UACAGAGGUCUCAAGCGUUGUUCGGAUUCAUUGGGCGUAAAGGGUGCGUAGGUGGCGCGGUAAGUCGGGUGUGAAAUUUCGGAGCUUAACUCCGAAACUGCAUUCGAUACUGCCGUGCUUGAGGGACUGGAGAGGAGACUGGAAUUUACGGUGUAGCAGUGAAAUGCGUAGAGAUCGUAAGGAAGACCAGUGGCGAAGGCGGGUCUCUGGACAGUUCCUGACACUGAGGCACGAAGGCCAGGGGAGCAAACGGGG